AUACGUAGGUGGCAAGCGUUGUCCGGAAUUAUUGGGCGUAAAGCGCAUGUAGGCGGUUUGGUAAGUCGGUCGUGAAAAUGCGGGGCUUAACGCCGUCUGGCGAUCGAAACUGCUGAACUUGAGUGCAGGAGAGGAAAGGGGAACUCCCAGUGGAGCGGUGAAAUGCGUAGAUAUAUGGAAGAACACCAGUGGCGAAGGCGCUUCACUAGCCCGAAACUGACGCUCAGUCACGAAAGCGUGGGUAGCAAAUAGGAUUAGAUACCCUAGUAGUCCACGCUGUAAACGAUGACAACUAAAUAUUGCCGCGAGGCAGUGUUGAAGCUAACGCAUUAAGUUGUCCGCCUGGGGAGUACGGUCGCAAGACUGAAACUUAAAUGAAUUGGCGGGG
rnacentral:rRNA from 1 species